AAAACCGUUACCAUUUUGUUUGUAUAGUACCUUGACAGUUGAAAGACCACAUAUAGGUAUGUAAUGGUAUUUAUUACAAACCGAAAGAGCCAUGUCAAAUGAUAGAAAGACAAACAAGGACAAAAAAUAAAUAACAAUUAAGGUGAUCAUGCCGAACUGAUAUUGGGUCAUUCAAUAAAUUGUACUGCAAUACACAAUUAUACAACACG
rnacentral:lncRNA from 1 species